AAAGAGAAAUCAGCUUGCAUGUAAACUCAUUGGCCGAAAAUCACACCUUCCUUAUCCCUUUUUUUUUGUGCGCUCCAUUGGGAAAUCUCAAGGUUGAGUUUUGUUUCAUCCCUGGCUAAACAUUGGUCCAGAUGUGAGACCAUAGUAUCCUUGUCUUCCUUUUUUCCCAAGCGCUGUUUGAGUGAAGUUUAAGCUGGAUGUAUCUUUGCAAUUAGAAACAGAAUUGACCACUCUCACCUCUCUUGGUCGUGAGCUUAUUAGAGCAGUGACUUCAAGAAAAAGAUUUCAUACCAUUUCCUCUCUUCUUGCCUUAAACCGUGAAUCCCAAGAAGCUAAACACCAAGAAAACAAUUUUAUCUCAUCAUCUCCACAAACCAUGAAAUAUCUAGGGAACCACUCCUCAAUUAAACGCUCAUGUCCUCUUCCCUCAUAGUUCGGCCUUAAAUUAUCAAGUAAAGGAUUGGGCAAAACUUGCUGUCUCCCGUUUCUGCCUACCCAUUCGGUUGGAUGAAAAGCUUCACUGCAUGCCGAUUGUCAGACCAGUUAAGUUCCUUUUCUUCCUUUGUGCGUGCUGCUCAAGCCUUAGUAGGAUAAGGUGAGAUAAUACAUUAGCUCCUUGUUCAUCCCUUCCUCAAUGGUUCUCAUCGAGUUCCCUUUUAUUUGCAUGUGCAAGGUAUAGCUGAAUUAGUCUCUACCCCUAUUGCAUGUAGUUGGAAUCGUUUCUGGGAGCAGUGGAUGAAGGAUGUUGUUGUUCCAUGAGUGAAUUUUGGCUGUGUAUUCUUGAAAAGAGGUGCGCAUCAACCUUAGUGUGUGGGCUGAAUUUUGGUGCUGUUUGAUAAAUUACUUGGACAAACGGGAGUACAAAAGAGCAUUUGAUGAUGAUGUACUUGUAUUGGGGAUAUUCUGUUUACAUGCUGUUGUUGGAAAUUCUACUGUCUGUUUGCUGAUUUUGCUGAAUGCGCAUGAAAUAUUUGACGUUGGUGUAAUAUUAGGGAGAUUGGAAAAAUGUUGGAUCAUAUAUUAUUUUGCUGUAAUUUGGGAUUUAUGUACUGUUUGUAAAUUACGUAAUGUUGAACUCGUUUGCGAAAACAAUUUUUGUCUAUUUUUAAAUUCGGAUUUAUGAGAC